GACAUAACACACCAGCGGACGAGACGUAGAUCCCCACCGGUGAUCGCAUUGGUGGUGGCGGCCUCGGAGAUGAAUCGGGCGUCACCAUUCCCGCUCCGUGCAAGGUCAGAAUCUGCUCUGGUCCUCUUUCGAUUCUUUAUGGUGGCAGAAAUCGGCAUCCCGGUUCGUUUUGGAUGAGGAUUAGGGUUUCGACAUGGCUGUAGCGUUUUGUUACGGUCCCUCGAUCGCUGGACGUUCUCCAUCUGUGCUUACGGCGUAAUCCUUUUAGUUUGUUGUCGUUUGUGAUUUAUCCUAUGUUUCAUCUCUGAUCCAAGAAAAUUCAUCCGGGAUUUCGCUACCUGACCCAGAAAAGAGAGGAUGUUGAGGCUUCAAGAUCCAAGGUAUAGGAUCAUUCUGUCACUGUCUUUUUGGCUUGGGCUUGUAGAUUUCUGAGACAGCCGCGGCAGAAGACGAGCAGAAGGAGGACGAGGUGGCAGGGACAUGUUACCUUCUGCUGCCACCGCAGCGGCCAAGUUGAAGGACCAUCGAUCCGAUCGGCAUCGUGACCGCGUCGUCCGUUGGUCCCGCCGUAGCAGCUUGAGCCCUGAACAGAAACAGGCCUCGGCCGGAGCACGUCCAUCAAGCACAGAGACUCCGCCCCCUGCCGCUCAGAUUCCGGUAAGCAGCUUCACAAUGAAUCCCCAUCUACCAUCCCAUGGCCAAGACAUCAUACUGAUGCUUGGUGAGUCACCUUUAUCACUCUGGCAAGGUGGUUUUGAAGACACAACACUCGGGUCUUCAAUCUUCUUCAGAAAGCCCUUUGUCUUCUUAUGGGCUGGAAUUGGUUCGUGUCUCUUGACAAUUCAAGGGCUGCUGAAGCGAAGGCUCUGAAUGAAGAUCUCAUACUUUGGCCUCUUUUGUAAAUUGUCCAUAACAGUUGCAUCGAGAAAAAUGCCCUGUUUAGUGAAGGCAUACAAGAAAUGCUUAAAGAUUAGUCCGUAAAUAACCUUUGGCUUCAAUUGUUUUACCAAAGCAGACUGAACUUCCAUUUCUUAUUUGCUGAUAUUAGCUCUACAGUUGUGCAUGGGUCGUCUUCUUCCUGCAAUUGUUUUUGGUUAGUCUAUGCCUAGAAUUGUGUGAAAAUGAUCUGUUAUAAUGUCAUCACAUUUUGUUUUUGACAAUCGAUACCGGAAAGCUAGAUGCAUUAUUGCAGUUUAUCACUAGGGUUAGGUAAUUGCCAUGAGAAAGAAAAGCAGAUAUUGGGAACAUGUGAUAUAGAUUAAUACCCGGAGACCCGAGUAUGAUCAAGUCCCUAGAAUUUUGGCAAGUUUAUGGCUAGUUUUGUUGUGUUAUCCAUAUGCCAACAUCUUCAUUUUUUUAAUCUUACACUCUUGUUGAUCUGAAAGCUAUGGUUUAUCGUGACAGGUUCUUUUACAGUAUGUUAGUAAUGCAUUAGCUUUGUUUCAUUUUGUUACAUAAGCUUGUAACUGAGUUGCUUUGUAUAUGAAUCUCAGCAGAAUAGUUUCAAUCUUGCAAAAUGUGGAUCUGGCUUUUCUUUGUUAUGAACAUAAGUAUAGCAGUCACAUAAUCUUACAUUAUGCUGGUUUUUUGCAUGUGGAUUAUUACCUGAGGAAUUCCUUUCCGACGAAAAAACUUGUGAAGAGAAUUGGUGUCAUCAGGACUCCAGCUAGGCAGCCACACAGCUUUGGAUUCCAACAUUGAGAAGUGCUUUUUUUCUCUUUUAACAGUAGAAUCUGAGAACGAUCCAUAAUUGAAAUAGAAGGUCAAGCCUGAUAAGUCUGUACGUGUAUCAGUAGAAUCUGAGAAGGAUCCAUCCGUAAUUGAAAGAGAUGGUGAAGCCUGAUAAGUCGGUACAGUAAGAUGUUAAGAGUCGUGUUCUGUGUGGCCUCUCAGGUUGUGCAUAUCUCUUCCCACGCUAUGUUGCAGAUUGGAGAAGGAUUGCAACCGUAUCUUCCAUACAUGGUGUUGGGGAACUUAUGUACCGUGGCUAGUGAGUCAGUUUGGCCUGGUUCACGGGUCGAUGUCAGGAGCUCGCAAUCGGGCGUCGGGAUCGAUCUCGUUUGCAAGUCGGGGUGCCGAUGCUAUCUGAGAGAGGGCACUUCUCGAUCGGGAUGCUGACGUCGUCUUCGGGGAGUACGUCUCUAGAUCGGGGUGGACGAACAUCUGAAGGCGGCCUCACUCCUGCACACAAGGCCCUCGUUGAAUGGUUCCCAACUUUGGCCCAUCGAUGAUGAAGUUAGCGAUCGUUCUUCCUUUUUCUUUUUUUGCCUCCCAUUGGUCAUAUAUCGAUCAGGGGUUUUUAUACUACUGUAUAAGGGUCGGUCGUACGUGGGUUUGACGCUGCAACCGAUCCCCGAGGGACGAGGGGGUACCUUUGUGCGGCUGUCGUUCCGAAAUGCAGGGAACAACACCAUAUGGCGCCGUCCCGAGCUUUCUAUGACGGGAUGUAUCGAGGAGUACCUUGGUACAGAUCUUAUUUGGUGCGUGGAAGUACUCAUGCUGACAUGGCUGGAACCCAAAAUAUGCCUCAUCACAUGGUGUUCCACAAUGCCAUCACUUUUCGUUUUUUCUCAACGCUGGUGGUGAUGCCUGCAGUUUAAAGUCACAGUAAAUUUUUACUGUUUUCUGUAGUUUAUGAUUGCAUUAUCUUUGUAUGGUUUUCGUUGAAAUGAUCCUCCAGCUGUUUGAUUGUUUCCAACCCUGCAUCGGUCAUGGGAUAAAGAUGUAUCGUAUUGAUCUGAAGUCAGGUCGCUAGUUAUUUAAUUCAGAUGAUCAUACCCGUUUCGUAUG